rnacentral:rRNA from 1 species
AAGUCGAGCGAACGGACGAGAAGCUUGCUUCUCUGAUGUUAGCGGCGGACGGGUGAGUAACACGUGGAUAACCUACCUAUAAGACUGGGAUAACUUCGGGAAACCGGAGCUAAUACCGGAUAAUAUUUUGAACCGCAUGGUUCAAAAGUGAAAGACGGUCUUGCUGUCACUUAUAGAUGGAUCCGCGCUGCAUUAGCUAGUUGGUAAGGUAACGGCUUACCAAGGCAACGAUGCAUAGCCGACCUGAGAGGGUGAUCGGCCACACUGGAACUGAGACACGGUCCAGACUCCUACGGGAGGCAGCAGUAGGGAAUCUUCCGCAAUGGGCGAAAGCCUGACGGAGCAACGCCGCGUGAGUGAUGAAGGUCUUCGGAUCGUAAAACUCUGUUAUUAGGGAAGAACAUAUGUGUAAGUAACUGUGCACAUCUUGACGGUACCUAAUCAGAAAGCCACGGCUAACUACGUGCCAGCAGCCGCGGUAAUACGUAGGUGGCAAGCGUUAUCCGGAAUUAUUGGGCGUAAAGCGCGCGUAGGCGGUUUUUUAAGUCUGAUGUGAAAGCCCACGGCUCAACCGUGGAGGGUCAUUGGAAACUGGAAAACUUGAGUGCAGAAGAGGAAAGUGGAAUUCCAUGUGUAGCGGUGAAAUGCGCAGAGAUAUGGAGGAACACCAGUGGCGAAGGCGACUUUCUGGUCUGUAACUGACGCUGAU